AGAGUUUGAUCCUGGCUCAGAACGAACGCUGGCGGCAUGCCUAACACAUGCAAGUCGGACGCUUUUGGGGGUUUCGGCCUCCGAGGGAGUGGCGGACGGGUGAGUAGCGCGUGGGAACCUGCCUUGGAGUGGGGGAUAACCGAGGGAAACUUCGGCUAAUACCGCAUACGCCCCGGCGCGAGCCGGGGGAAAGAUUGAUC
rnacentral:rRNA from 1 species